CCCUCUUAACCAGUCCAAUCCAUGCACCUGACCAAAUGUCUCUUAAACGUGAUGGUAGUCCCUGCCUCAACUACCUCCUCCGGCAGCUUGUUCCGUACACCCACACCCUGUGUCGGAUAAAAUUCCUAUUAAAUCUUUU